rnacentral:rRNA from 1 species
ACAGCAGCCGCCGCGGUAAUACAGAGGGUGCGAGCGUUAAUCGGAUUUACUGGGCGUAAAGCGUGCGUAGGCGGCUUCUUAAGUCGGAUGUGAAAUUCCUGAGCUUAACUUAGGAAUUGCAUUCGAUACUGGGAAGCUAGAGUAUGGGAGAGGAUGGUAGAAUUCCAGGUGUAGCGGUGAAAUGCGUAGAGAUCUGGAGGAAUACCGAUGGCGAAGGCAGCCAUCUGGCCUAAUACUGACGCUGAGGUACGAAAGCAUGGGGAGCAAACAGGAUUAGAUACCCCCGUAGUCCCUGUCUCUUAUAC